UCUCAUGUUCAGAGAAUGAAGGUUGCGGAGAUGAGGAUGAUCAGGUGGUUGUGCGGGCUCACCAGGUUAGAUAAGAUUAGGAAUGAAGUUAUUCGAGAGAAGGUGAGGGUGGCCCCGGUGGAUGAAAAGAUGAGAGAAGCGAGGCUGAGGUGGUUCGGGCAUGUGCGGAGGAGAAGUCCUGAUGCCCCGGUGAGGAGUUGU
rnacentral:lncRNA from 1 species